rnacentral:rRNA from 1 species
CUCUUCUUGAUUAAUAAUUUGAGGUAUAACCUGCCCACUGAAUAUUUUGAAGGGCCGCGGUAUUUUGACCGUGCAAAGGUAGCAUAAUCAUUAGUCUUUUAAUUGAAGACUUGAAUGAAUGGUUGGACGAGGAAUAAGCUGUUUCUUGUAAAAUUUAUUUGAAUUUAUAUUUUAAGUUAAAAUGCUUAAAUUUGUUUAUGGGACGAGAAGACCCUAUAGAGUUUAAUAUAUUAUAUAAUUUAUUUGGUUAUAAUUAUUAUUAAUUAUAUAAUUUAUUUUGUUGGGGUGAUGGGAAGAUUUAGUAAACUCUUUUUAUUUUUUUUAUAUUUAUAUAUAAUAUUUUGAUCCAUUUUUGUUGAUUAUAAGACUAAAUUACCUUAGGGAUAACAGCGUAA